rnacentral:lncRNA from 1 species
AGCCCCAUAUGAUUUUUGUUCCAAUUCUCUAUUAUCUACACCCACCACCACCUCAGAAAAGUAUGAAGUGAAUUUUCUUCUUUUGCAAUCAAUGCGAUUUAGAUGUAGUAGGUACUAGCACGUUAUUGAAACUUGUAAUAUAAUGCAUGUAAGAAUUUGUGCACAGCUAAGGCAAAAUGUUAUUUGCUUUGAGAAAUUUGAAAGACUAAAAUAUGGUUAGAAAUUCAAAGUUGACUAUGGUAGACGAUCAAUCUAAAACCAACAUAUCUACUGAAA